CUCAACUCUACACUAUACAUGGAACUCUGAAUUGACUAAGGACCAUUGAAUUGUACACUUUAAACAGGGGAAUUUCACGGGAAGAAAUGGUGCAUCCUGGAGACAGGCGGCCACCCCUGGCUUCCAUCCAGUCCCUCUGAAGGACGCUGGAUGAGAAGAAGACACAGGGGGGAACUCAGGACAGAGCUGAGGUUCCAGGGCACUGGCUGAGGCUGUCCGAGGUCCUGCAUCCCGGGGAGACGGAAUUCUCUACAGAGUCAACGCUCCAACUACCACGAUCCCAGAAACAGCCAGGAAAGCAUCGAACUUGCUGAACCAUGACUACCGAAGCUCUGAAAAUCCACAGGGAACCAUUUCUUUAGAAAGGACACCAGGGCGCCCUUCUAUCCUCGGGGGAUGCUCGGCUCUUUGUGUUUCUCCCCGCCCUUCCCCCACUCCUCAUUUCUGCCCUUCCUUCCCAUUUUUAGAGCCCCUGCCCAUCAUGCAUUGUCCCCUUGACUGUUCUGUCACAGUGGCCCUGAGUGACCGUCUUGUUUCUCACUCUCCCCACAGCCUCCCAUCACAUUUCACCCUGAAUGGAGGCCCUGGCCAGGGACCUUGGGGCAAGGUCACGGAGGCAGGAGCCACCUCCAUCAGGCCAUUUGGGCCUUGCCCAGCCCAGCGCCCCUCAGCCCUAGUGCGGGUCCCACAGCAGCUUCUUCCCCGUCUUAGUCCCAGCCUGGCACCCUGUCCCUCCUUAUGGUCUGGAUCCUGACACAGAGCCAGG
rnacentral:lncRNA from 1 species